rnacentral:sRNA from 1 species
UGUCUUUGGUUUUGUGGGCACUAGC